AGGGAAUCUUCCGCAAUGGACGAAAGUCUGACGGAGCAACGCCGCGUGAGUGAGGAAGGCCUUCGGGUCGUAAAGCUCUGUUGUGAGGGAAGAAGCGGUACCGUUCGAAUAGGGCGGUACCUUGACGGUACCUCACCAGAAAGCCACGGCUAACUACGUGCCAGCAGCCGCGGUAAUACGUAGGUGGCAAGCGUUGUCCGGAAUUAUUGGGCGUAAAGCGCGCGCAGGCGGCUUCUUAAGUCUGAUGUGAAAUCUCGGGGCUCAACCCCGAGCGGCCAUUGGAAACUGGGGAGCUUGAGUGCAGAAGAGGAGAGUGGAAUUCCACGUGUAGCGGUGAAAUGCGUAGAGAUGUGGAGGAACACCAGUGGCGAAGGCGACUCUCUGGUCUGUAACUGACGCUGAGGCGCGAAAGCGUGGGGAGCAAAC
rnacentral:rRNA from 1 species